rnacentral:sRNA from 1 species
UAAGAUUUUAUUCCGAAUCUACUUUUGUUUUCACUCAAUAUUGCUGUGCUGCACCCACUGUGCAUGGCUGGGCAACUACUUUACAAUCAUCGUCGCUUGGUUUUCGAUUGCUUUUGCAGCUUAUUUCUUGCUGCUUCAUUUAUGUACAUACUUGCUUACAUAUGUGUGAGUGGCUGGGUAAGCGUGUGCCUGUGUUUGCAUUUGGUUUUACUUUUUUUCCGUUGAAAUCGAAAAUGCGUGUAACGAGUGUUAAUCGUCCCGCCUGAAUCACGGACUGCCCCAACUAGCAUCAAACUAACCUCUCAAGCAGGCGUUUGCUUUAGACACUUAUUACCAAUAUUAUUUGCUUGUCGCUGCUGCUGCUACUGCUGCAAACAAAAACUAACUUCUUGUAGUUUUAUUUGUUAAAGGAGCAACAUCAUGGCAGGUUCGUUGACCAGCCGCCAACAAAAGUUAUGCAUUGAGAUAACGAAACAUAAAGGGAUCGUCUCACAUUGGGAUUUUAAAGAAUGAUCUAAUAUUUAUGUAUGUACAUAUGUAUGUAUGUAUGCAUAACCGCAUUUAUUUAUAUGUAUAAGCAUGUUUGUAUGUCUAUUUAUUGCAGUUGCCGUUUUGUCAAGGUCAUUUGUCUCUUUUGGCAAAUUCGCGAGCAAAUUGAAAACAAAAUCCCAAGAAAAAGCUCUUUGCUAAUGGACCGUUGCGCUGCAUUUAAAGGCAGAGGAAAAGACAGAGGCAGACAUAGAGGCAGUGACAGAUGCACUAACGUGGAUUAAAAAUGUGUUCAAAGUACAAGAGAAAAGACAACGGGACAAACAACAAAAGCAGCGCCGCAAUGAAGCAACCCAGACAGAUCCUGCUUACUUCCGUGCAGCCUGUCUAGCUCUCUUUCCAAUCGCGUUAAUCUAUAAGCAACGCAAUGAAAAUGAAAUGGAACAGCGGUAAACUACGUUUGGGUAUAUUAAGCAAAUUAAAUUUUGUACAGACGCACCCAGAAGAGGCACGUGCAGCAACUUAAGGCCAGGUCUUCCAGGGAGGGAGCCUGGCACCUGCCAAAAAAGCAACAAUCAAAUAAAUACCACUACGAAAAACCAAGCGUCGCAUGCAAAUAAAAGAACGCACAACAAAACGUGACGCUAUAACAACAAAAGUAAACAGAGAAACAUAGAGCAAACGAACAAAAAAAAUAAUAAAACAGUUGUCGAAAUAUAUGUAUGUAUGUAUGCACAAGAACAGAGGAAUAUAAAAAUAAAACGGUAACAAGAGCAUCGGCAGAAAUAACACGCUGACUGCUCAAUGCUUUAAAACUCAGCAGCAAAUCUUCGUUUCACAUUCCAAAAUGUUUCACUCUCGCACUGUCAAACAGAGAGCAAUAAAUUAGGUGGGCGGGCGGAGAUGUUUCAAUUCGCAAAAGCAGUACUCACUCUUCGCUGAAAGCUACUGCUGCUGCUGUCGCACAUCGCGGUUCUUCCACUCUGUCUGUGUCCCACAUCUUCGACUGCGCUUCAGCAACGACGACGCGACGUUGGCGCACAUAUGCCGUUAAGCGCAUCAUGCAUGUUAUUCUCUAAUGGCGGCAACGACUAUGGCUACUCUCAACGCAUUAAACAAUUGUCUGCUCCACAUCCCCAAAUACACAUAUGUACAUACCCAAGCAAAUCGUAGCCACCUGCUGGCAUUGCACUGAAGCACAGUGCAACAGCAUGAGUAAAUUGGAGAUAAGCGGACAAAGAGAAGUCAUAGCUGGGAAAUGUGUAAUAUGCAAUGAAUCGCUAAUGGCCCAGAGUCGGAUAAAAUGACAUGCAAAAAGCUCAGGCAAUUAACAUCAACUUCGACAAGACACGCGAUAAAAGCUGAGCGCUCUUUUUUAUUGCUCAAAUGGAGCGUAAAAUUGGCAGAAAAUAAAAAUUACGAAUUGCAACAAUUGAACUUGACUAAAAUGCCAGCAAGAGUUAAAUGCAAAUCGAAAGCUCAUAUGUGUGUGUGUGUGACAGCUUUUCAAUAAGAAUGUGAAAGGGGUGAGGUGAUUGUUACCUUAAAUCGAAUGGAUAAAUUGCAAGAAAUACACGAAAUUAAUUGCACGUAACAAAUACUCUCGCUUUCUCAGUAGUCAACCUGAACACACACACACACACACACACACACACACACAAAUAUGUAUGCAUCGAUUGCGGCGUCCGCAGCGACAACAACAACGAAACAGCUGAGCGUUAGCCUAACAGCGGCACACACACAUAUAAAUAUAUAUUCAUACAUUAGCUUUUACAUGCGCACGGUCACACUGCGCUUUGGGCGUAAGUGCGCAUGUAUUUGUGCUUUUAGCUAAAUUGCAAAGUAUAAACAGACUAAA